CAUAUACUCUCUUCGUCCGGAAAUACUAGCCCGAAGAAUGGAUGUAUCUAGAUGUAUUUUAGUUUUAGAUACAUCCAUUUUAAUCAAUCUUUACGACAGGUAAUUUGGGAUGGAGAAAGUAUAUC
rnacentral:pre_miRNA from 1 species